rfam:Glycine soja cultivar W05 scaffold5619_8, whole genome shotgun sequence.
AUGUUAACGUAUGAUAUGUUAACAUCGGUUUUUAAAGAACCGAUGUUAGCGUGUAUGCAUUAACAU